rnacentral:misc_RNA from 1 species
GGCCUAUGUGGCUGACGAUUCGUUAAGGGGCUGCGGGUUGACGAAAGGGAAAAGCGCAGCGUCGCCUUGGUUUUCCUCUGGCUCUCUUUCCAGAAUAUCUGAUGUUAUUUUCCCUCAGAGCUGCCCUUGCCGGUUGCCGUCGUAUCUUUUCUUCAUCAGGACUCAUGAAAGACAUUUUGAUAAUCGAACCCUUCUUUGGGGGGUCUCACGGGCAACUUGUGAAACUACUUCUGUCUGAUCAUGAAAUUGCACACCGUGCUGAAAUUCUGACUUUGCCAGCGAAGAAGUGGCAUUGGCGAGCCCGGACGUCAGCUUUGUAUUUCAGCCAAACAAUUCCUUCUGGAAAAAACUACAGGUACUUAUUUUCAAGUUCUGUACUCAACCUGGCUGAACUGAUUGCACUUCGGCCAGAUUUGGCAGCUUUAAAAAAAAUAAUCUACUUUCAUGAGAACCAGCUUAUAUAUCCAGUGCGCAAGAGACAGGAUAGAGACUUUCAGUACGGAUACAACCAGAUACUGUCAAGCAUGGUUGCAGACUCUGUGAUAUUCAAUUCUGAAUUCAACAUGGAGUCAUUUUUGUCUUCAAUUUCGUCUCAUUUGAAGCUUAUUCCUGAUCAUCGACCCAAAGGCAUUGAUGUCAUGGUGAGACCUAAAUGCAGAGUGCUGUAUUUUCCAAUAUCAUUACCAGUAUGUGCCAAAGAGCUUCAAACAAUCAGUGUGAAAAAAGAAAGGACUGACUGUGAUUUACCCAUAGACUUAAAUUGUGUUGCAGAUGUGAAAGAAGUGAAUUGUGAAAUGAAUUGUACAUACUCAGGUCAGCUGUGUUCAGGCUCCAGUAAUUGUGGAGAGGAGCGAAAAAACAUUGAUUUUACUUCUGAAAAGCUCUCAGUAGCUGAAAUAGGAGGUAGCCUGGAAUCAAGUUUUGAAGACAGUGUUGAUAAAAAUACUCUCACAUUGGAAAAGCAGGAAAAUGAUGAGCAUAAAGAACACGGAUUAACCAGAAGCAAGAAGCCAUGUCAUCAUUCUCUUGUUCAUAUUGUGUGGCCUCACAGAUGGGAGCAUGACAAGGAUCCGGAAGCAUUCUUCAAUGCUCUGUUUUCCCUAACAGAAGAAGGUUUGGAUUUUAGGGUGUCUGUGGUAGGGGAGGCCUUUUCCGAAGUACCUGAUAUAUUCCUGAGAGCAAAAUCUCACUUGCAAGAUAAAAUACUGAAUUGGGGAUAUCAGACAAGAGAGGAUUACCUGUGCAUCAUAGAUGAAGCUGAUGUAGUAGUUUCUACUGCACAACAUGAAUUCUUUGGAGUUUCCAUGUUGGAAGCUGUGAGCAGAGGAUGUUUUCCCUUGUGCCCUAAACGACUGGUGUAUCCUGAAAUAUAUCCUGACGAAUGCCUGUACUCCACUCAAGCUCAGCUGGUGAAGCGUCUCAAAAGAUUUUGUUCUUUCCCAAAGAGUGUAAGAACUGACAAGUUCAAACCAUCCAAGCAGCUGCUGGCGGGCAAAGGGUAGUUCUCCCGAAUUCUCUGAUCAAGCUCAGCCUACAACUGGUCAAUAGGAUUGAGGUCUGGAGUGUUGGCUGGCCAGACCAUGCGGGUAAUCCGCACCUGCUGCACGAAAGUGUUGACGCCCUGGACCUGUGCGACGUGGCGUUGUCGUCCUGAAGGACAGCAGCAAGCCCAAUCUGCUGCAGUGCCGGGACAACCAGAGGUCGAAGGAUCUCCUGCAGAUACCGCUGCCCUGUCAGGAUGCCUUGACUACCUUGCCCUGAAUGGUGGACACGUGCGCUUCUGACAAUUCCAUUGACAUUCACGAACUUAAACUAGUCGUUUUCUUUGAUAUUGGGUCUGGCUGCUCGGUUUUCGUGGACAUGCUUGCAAGCGGAUUAUAAAAACUUGUUUCCAGUUUUUGAAAAUUCACCUCCAAGCUG